rnacentral:rRNA from 2 species
GAGUGAGCGGCAAAAGCUCAAAUUUGAAAUCUGGCUCUUUCAGAGUCCGAGUUGUAAUUUGAAGAAGGUAUCUUUGGGUCUGGCUCUUGUCUAUGUUUCUUGGAACAGAACGUCACAGAGGGUGAGAAUCCCGUGCGAUGAGAUGAUCCAGGCCUAUGUAAAGUUCCUUCGAAGAGUCGAGUUGUUUGGGAAUGCAGCUCUAAGUGGGUGGUAAAUUCCAUCUAAAGCUAAAUAUUGGCGAGAGACCGAUAGCGAACAAGUACAGUGAUGGAAAGAUGAAAAGAACUUUGAAAAGAGAGUGAAAAAGUACGUGAAAUUGUUGAAAGGGAAGGGCUUGAGAUCAGACUUGGUAUUUUGUAUGUUACUUCUUCGGGGGUGGCCUCUACAGUUUAUCGGGCCAGCAUCAGUUUGGGCGGUAGGAGAAUUGCGUUGGAAUGUGGCACGGCUUCGGUUGUGUGUUAUAGCCUUCGUCGAUACUGCCAGCCUAGACUGAGGACUGCGGUUUAUACCUAGGAUGUUGGCAUAAUGAUCUUAAGUCGCCCGUCUUGAA